rnacentral:tRNA from 1 species
GGUGGGUUCGUCUAGCGGUCUAGGACACCGGCCUCUCACGCCGGGAACACGGGUUCGAGUCCCGUACCCACUA